UCCGGCAAUUCUUUCAUGCUGUGGAUUCAAGAAGCGAAACAGACCGUGGUGAGCAUGCCCAGUACACAGGGCUUCGCUGGCCAGGAGCCAUCCUAAGAGGAGGUCUGCGGCUCACGGAGUAGAAAACCACCUUGGGCGAGAGAGCCUGAUACUCCAAGUGCCACAAAAGGAGAGGAAAGCUACGUUUGCAGGACACCUGAGAGUCAAGGUCACGGGCGCAGGCUUCAGAAUUCAGAAGCCCAAUUCCUAUCCAUGUGAGUCCAUCUGCUUCCUCAACUGUAAGAGGAGAGUAAUAGCCCUACCUCACCGCAGUGUUUUGAGAAUUAACUGAGUCAACACAUGGAAGGGCUUUGCACAGUACCUGGCACCUCGUAAGUGCUCAAAGAGCUAGCAACUGGGAGUAUAC
rnacentral:lncRNA from 1 species